rnacentral:rRNA from 1 species
UGGGGAAUAUUGGACAAUGGGCGAAAGCCUGAUCCAGCCAUGCCGCGUGUGUGAAGAAGGUCUUCGGAUUGUAAAGCACUUUAAGUUGGGAGGAAGGGCAGUAAGCGAAUACCUUGCUGUUUUUACGUUACCGACAGAAUAAGCACCGGCUAACUCUGUGCCAGCAGCAGCGGUAAUACAGAGGGUGCAAGCGUUAAUCGGAAUUACUGGGCGUAAAGCGCGCGUAGGUGGUUCGUUAAGUUGAAUGUGAAAGCCCCGGGCUCAACCUGGGAACUGCAUCCAAAACUGGCGAGCUAGAGUAGGGCAGAGGGUGGUGGAAUUUCCUGUGUAGCGGUGAAAUGCGUAGAUAUAGGAAGGAACACCAGUGGCGAAGGCGACCACCUGGGCUCAUACUGACACUGAGGUGCGAAAGCGUGGGGAGCAAACAGG